rnacentral:rRNA from 1 species
UACGAAGGGGGCUAGCGUUGCUCGGAAUCACUGGGCGUAAAGCGCACGUAGGCGGCUUUCUAAGUCAGGGGUGAAAUCCUGGAGCUCAACUCCAGAACUGCCUUUGAUACUGGAGAGCUUGAGUCCGGGAGAGGUGAGUGGAACUCCGAGUGUAGAGGUGAAAUUCGUAGAUAUUCGGAAGAACACCAGUGGCGAAGGCGGCUUCCUGGACCGACACUGACGCUGAGGCGCGAAAGCUAGGGGAGCAAACGGG